rnacentral:piRNA from 1 species
UCCUGGAUGGCCGGCUCCUGCUUC